rnacentral:rRNA from 1 species
AACGAACGCUGGCGGCAGGCUUAACACAUGCAAGUCGAGCGAGGACUUCGGUCCUAGCGGCGGACGGGUGAGUAACGCGUGGGAACGUGCCCAUUCCUCCGGAAUAGCCCUGGGAAACCGGGAGUAAUGCCGGAUACGCCCUCUCGUAGCGAUACGGGCGGGGAAAGAUUUAUCGGGGAAGGAUCGGCCCGCGUCGGAUUAGGUAGUUGGUGGGGUAACGGCCCACCAAGCCGACGAUCCGUAGCUGGUUUGAGAGGAUGAUCAGCCACACUGGGACUGAGACACGGCCCAGACUCCUACGGGUGGCAG